rnacentral:rRNA from 1 species
UACGUAGGCAGCGAGCGUUGUUCGGAGUUACUGGGCGUAAAGGGUGCGUAGGCGGUUGUUUAAGUUUGGUGUGAAAUCUCCCGGCUCAACUGGGAGGGUGCGCCGAAUACUGAAUGACUAGAGUGCGGGAGAGGAGAGUGGAAUUCCUGGUGUAGCGGUGAAAUGCGUAGAUAUCCGGAGGAACACCAAAGGCGAAGGCAGUGUCCUGGGGAGUACCUGACGCUCAGGUGCGAAAGCCAGGGGAGCGAACGGG